rnacentral:misc_RNA from 1 species
UCACCCCUCAAGCCUAGCUUGGUGUUGAGGCCUGCUGUCAAGGCAGCCUCUAAAAUCAGUGGCAGUGCUGUCAGGCUCUAAGCGUAGUAAAUCUAAUCGCUAUAGACACCUGGUGGACACUCGCCAGAACCCCCCAUUUUUUAAU